GAGUCUGCAUCUACAUACAAUCUAACUUCUUCCUGUUGGUUCCAGUCUGGAGGAGCCUGAAUGAUGGAGGAUCUGCUGAUUGGCUUAUCACCCUCCCUCCUCUAGGGGACCAAAUUGCAGGCAGGUGGGCUGCUGCAAAACUAACCGGAGUACUCACCACAGCCUUGACUCUGCCUCUCCCUGGGGCCUUGGAGGGUGACAGCGUGUGGUUGGGGCAUAGCAAGCUGGGAGAGGAGAGCAAGGACAAUCCGAAUCCUUCCACCUAAUGUGUUGUCUGCUGUUCUCAGACUCCAUGCAUUUGCCAGGUCUGCCUUGCAAAUCAGGGAUUUUCACUAGGAGGCCUGCUUUCACAAGGCUUGGGGAAGCAGAAGAUUGAACCCGGCUGUUCCACGGAAGACCUUAUAUCUGCUGCCCCAUGGGACAGGGUGCUAUCUGUGACAGGACUGGAAGCAAAAUACAUGGAGUGUCACCUUCAGCCUGUUUUCUGAGAGCAUUCGUGGAAGAAAACACUUACAUUACCUCCCAGAGGGGUCUCUGCUUCCAGAGUAGGCAGCAGGAUACAAUGCUUAUCAAAUGAAGGACUCUGGUUCCCUCUUGGCCA